AAAAAAAAAAAAAAGGAACAGUUAUCCUAAAAAAGAAAUAAAAAUGGUAUCCUUGAAUCUUUCCCGAUGGCCAAACUGACAGUUCCCCCGAAAUCAGAAGAAUCCUCUCAAAUACUUCUGACUUUUUCUUUCACAUCCCAAGAGAAUGAAUUUCUCUACCACCACCACCUCUUCUCUCUGCCUCACCCCGAUACUUCUGUGGCUCUUUGUGUGACAAAAUCUGCAAGUGUACGUUGUUGAAUGCUUCUCUCUCAUAAAUGCACUUUUGGCCUUCAACUCCUUUUUGGGAUUUUUAAUCUCUCUUUUCUUUUCAUUUUUUUUUAUUUUAUGUUUUUGUCGGUUUCUCCACACUCUAUCUUUCUAGCUAUAUAAUGGUCCCUUUCACUUUUAACCAGAAACCAAUGAUACAAAGAUGGCAAAGGUUAUGCCUUUAAUGAGAUAGAGAGAGAGGUUGUCAUGCAUCUCUUCUGAUAUAACGACAUGAAACUCUAGCUUUAAACCUACCCCAUUUCUUGUGUACGUUCUGGUUUCUUCUUGUUUUUAUUGUUUUUGUUAAUUAAUUGCGAGGCCAUUAUUUGUGUGAAUAGAAAGGGAGGUUUUGGUGGUUUUGGCUCUGUGUCUGGCCAACUGGCGCUGGUUAUUAUGGUUGUUCAAGCACAGUUGUACUCUGAAAGUCUCUCUCUACCCUUCUCUGGUUUGCAGGAUUAUAUGGUUAAUAAUCUUGUUUCUGAGUUUGAAGCCGAUUUGUGCUUCGGUUUUCAAGAGUCCCAGCAGCAGAAUCUCUUUCUUCUACCACAGAGCUCUCAACACUUUGGCUUUGAUUGCAAUAAUAGAGGGGCAGUGCCUUCUUCUUCUUGUUCUUCACAAUCAACUUGUGAUAGUUUCCUCUUAAUGGAUCUUUUUCAGUCUCUUGAUCCUCGUCAUCUUGAAAUACAAAGGCAAGAGUUGGACUGCAUUUUGCAAUUACAGAACGAGAGGCUAAGAUCUGCAUUGCAAGAGCAAACAAGGCAACAACUGGCAAUUCUGCUAAAGAGUGUGGAAUCCAAGGCCAUAUCUUUAAUGAGGCAAAAAGAAGAGGAUUUGGCACGAGCAACAAGGGAAACGAUGGAACUUGAGGCUUGCUUAAGAAAAGCAGAGAUGGAGAGAGAAUCAUGGCAAAGAGUAGCAGGAGAAAACGAAGCAAUGGUCAUAGAUCUAAGCAACACGCUAGAACAGGUCCGAGAGAGACUGUUCUUGGGCAGCACUAGAAGCCAAGAUACGGAGUCCUUUUGCUGUCAUUCAUGCGAGGGAGAACAAGAAGAGGAUAACAGCACAAACAAGAUGGCAUGCUGUAAAGUGUGCAAUUCUAGGGCCUCGUGCGUUCUCUUUCUUCCUUGCAGGCAUCUCUGCUCGUGCAAGUUUUGUGAGGCUUCUCUCGCCUAUUGUCCUAUCUGUGAAUCCGUGAAGGAAGGAAGCAUGGAAGUUCUUUGGGUCUAACAAUUGAGCAAGGCACGAAAAUCAAAAGAAAUGGUAGUGUCUUUCUUUUUUAAGGCCUUCUUGAGGUCUAUAUUUGCAGUUUUUUCUUGAAUCGAAAUGAUAGUAGUAUCAGGAAAGGGUGGGUCAAUUAUAUUUUACAUGAUUUAGCUCAGCAAAGUUGAAACCAUCAUUUAUUUUGAUUCUGUUCUUUUUUGGCUGACAACCCACAAGAAAUGGCAGCCAACUUUAGCCGUAACAAUAUCUGCUAUUGACUGACAGAAAAGAAGUUUUGGCAUAUAUCAAGAACAAAAGAAUUGAACUGUCACCGCCAUUACUUCAAUAUUUGUUGUUUAUUCCAAUGGCUUAUCUCCAAAUUAAACCUGCACCUAACUACGGGUGUGGAGAAACCAUCAUCAUCCAACCCAGCAAGCUGACUACCCAUUUGCUCUUUUGCCAUAAAUGAGGCUUCUGCCCCUCUAUUUGAAUGCCGAGUUAAAAUAUAAAGCCUUGAGAAUAAAGAAAAGAUUUGAAUACAGUUCAAUUUUGUUCUUGUGUAAAAGUGGUAUCGAAUCGAAGGCUUAUGUUACUCACCUUUGGGCCCCUAAUGGUGGGGAGGAUGUGGGGUAGUUCCCACAAUGUAGAAUAUCAAAAGAACUGUUUCCAAAGUUUCAGGGUUGUUUUGUUUGUCUGAGACGAGAUCUCCUGCAGUCCCUUUUGCGGGUGAGGGGUGACUGUGCUUUGCUCCACUCCUGUGUCCAUGUUCCAUAUAAAGAGAGACCAAAAAGCUUAGUUUAGUUUUUGCUUUAUAUGGGGUUAAGGAUAUUGUUAGGCAAAUUUGCAGGAUUGCAGAGGCAAUUGAGCAGGAGUAGUGGGUGGCCGGCACCUCAUCACUGGAAACUAGUGCUGUGCGUCGUAGUUUUUGGGGUCUCAAAUUGAUGAAAAUCAAAUCGAAUCAAAUUUUUUUUUAAAGGAUUUGAUUUGAUUUUAGUUUUUCAUUAAGAAUUCAG
rnacentral:misc_RNA from 1 species